CUACGGGAGGCAGCAGUGGGGAAUCUUAGACAAUGGGGGCAACCCUGAUCUAGCCAUGCCGCGUGAGUGAUGAAGGCCUUAGGGUCGUAAAGCUCUUUCGCCUGUGAUGAUAAUGACAGUACCUGGUAAAGAAACCCCGGCUAACUCCGUGCCAGCAGCCGCGGUAAUACGGAGGGGGUUAGCGUUGUUCGGAAUUACUGGGCGUAAAGCGCGCGUAGGCGGAUUAGAAAGUUGGGGGUGAAAUCCCGGGGCUCAACCCCGGAACUGCCUCCAAAACUACUAGUCUAGAGUUCGAGAGAGGUGAGUGGAAUUCCGAGUGUAGAGGUGAAAUUCGUAGAUAUUCGGAGGAACACCAAUAGCGAAGGCAGCUCACUGGGCCGCUAUCGACGCUGAGGAGCGAAAGCUAGGGGAGCAAACAGGAUUAGAUACCCUGGUAGUCCUAGCUGUAAACGAUGGAUACUAGACGUAGGAACUGGAUUGACGGUUUCUGUGUCGCAGCUAACGCGUUAAGUAUCCCGCCUGGGGAGUACGGUCGCAAGACUAAAACUCAAAG
rnacentral:rRNA from 1 species